UAUCAUUGCAAUAAGUAACAUCUAAGACUUGAUUGAAUUUCUAAUGAAGCACAUGGAAUUUUUGCCCCACCUGUAGAAACCAAGAGGGGGGAGACUCCUGUAUAUAAGAGGUCCCCUGAGACUGAUCCAGUAUCUUAUAUACAAAGACUUUAAGCAGAGAAGAGACAACUACACUUGUCUGCAGGAGAAUGAUGAAGCUUGGCGCAGUCCUUCUCGUCCUGGCAAUUGCUGCCCAGUCUCUCUAUGUCUACGGAGCUCCAAAGUGUGGUGCGCACCAAAUAAUGAACAGCUGUGAUGGUCCAUGUACACUCAACUGUCACUCUAUGAAACAUCCCAAAUCCUGCCUGGAGCUCUGCAGUCCUGGGUGUGUCUGCCAAAGUCCGUACUUCGCUGUAUCCAGCACAGAUAAGACCUGUGUUCUACGAACCAAGUGCCCGUAGGACUUUCUGAAGAAGGAAACUGGGAUAUAGAUGUGACAUGAGGAUCUCCAGCUGUCGUCUUGUUACUUUGUUCUACAAUUUGUAUAUAUGUGUAAUGCAUUAUGUGACCUGUUCCAGAUAAUCCUGCUUGUCCAGAUACAUAACGAAUUGGACAUCUAGGAAAAUAUUUCUGUGCAAAAAUAAAUAAAUGCAAAAUAUUCAGUGAUAA